UUCUUGCCACAGCUUGUCUUGUUUAUGCCUUUUUGGAUUCCUCGCUAGAGUGAUUCUUUGUAAUUUCUUAGUUUAGCGCAGUUCUUAGUUUCAUAGCUUUUUGAGUCAGCUGUUUUGUUUUUCCUCCUUCUGGAGUGAUUUUUUGUUCUUUUUUGUUUUUCCCCCUUUAGUCCUGAUCCAGUUUUUAUUUUAUUAUUUUUCCCCUGAGAGUUUAGUUAGUAUUCCCCUUUUCUUAUAUUAGGAUUUAUCUAUUUAGUUUAUUAGUGUAGUUAGGUUUCAGUGUUAUUCCUCGCCUUUUUCUUUUUGGAGCGACUUUUCUUUGUUUAGUUUUUAGUCUUAGUCAGGAGUUUCAUAGCCCUUUGCUUUCACUCGAGAGGAUUAUCUCAGCUGCUUUUUUGAAUAAAGAAACAUUCAUUUCACUUGCUCUGCAUCUGAGUGCUGACUUGAGCUCAGCCUGACAAAUGCAUUCCUUUUCCUUGUCAUUAUCUGGUGCCUACAUUACCCACAAUGCAGUUUGACGGCCCACAGAGAUUCAGCUGACAGUCCAUGGCAACAAAACAAAGUGCUUUGUUGUGAGGAUGCAAAAGAGAACCACUGGCCUAAAGCACAAGUCAGCCACUCCUCCCUUCACGUCUCCAGUUAGUUCAGAAUGCUGCCGCCUGUCUGCUAACUGGAGGACGUAAGAGGGAGCACAUUACACCGAUCCUGGCCUCCCUCCAUUGGCUGCUGGUGCACUUUAGGGUUCAUUUUAAGUUUAUUUUAUUUGUUUUUAAGUCUUUAAAUUGCAUCGCCCCGCCCUA